rnacentral:rRNA from 1 species
ACGGAAGGCAGCAGUGGGGAAUAUUAGGCAAUGGGGGCAACCCUGACCUAGCAACGCCGCGUGAGGGAAGAAGGCCUUCGGGUUGUAAACUUCUUUUAUAGGGGACGAAACGAAUGACGGUACCCUAUGAAUAAGCCACGGCUAACUACGUGCCAGCAGCCGCGGUAAUACGUAGGUGGCCAGCGUUGUCCGGAUUUACUGGGUGUAAAGGGAGCGUAGGCGGGAUGGCAAGUCAGAUGUGAAAUCCAUGGGCUCAACCCAUGAACUGCAUUUGAAACUGUUAUUCUUGAGUAUCGGAGAGGCAAGCGGAGUUCCUAGUGUAGCGGUGAAAUGCGUAGAUAUUAGGAGGAACACCAGUGGCGAAGGCGGCUUGCUGGACGAAAACUGACGCUGAGGCGCGAAAGCGUGGGGAGCAAACAGGAUUAGAUACCCUGGUA